UACAGAGGGGGCAAGCGUUGUUCGGAAUUACUGGGCGUAAAGGGCGCGUAGGCGGCCUGUUAAGUCGGACGUGAAAUCCCUCGGCUCAACCGGGGAACUGCGUCCGAUACUGGCGGGCUUGAAUCCGGGAGAGGGAUGCGGAAUUCCAGGUGUAGCGGUGAAAUGCGCAGAUAUCAGGAGGAACACCGAUGGCGAAGGCAGCUCGCUGGGACGGUACUGACGCUGAGGCGCGAAAGCGUGGGGAGCAAACAGG
rnacentral:rRNA from 1 species